GACUUGAUGAUGUUGACAUUUAUGGAGUAAGUCCCUAAAUCGCUCCCAAGUCUCAAAGAAAAAUUUCCCUAUCCAUCUGUGAAAAACUCGUGAUGGCUCUCCAAAGCU